GAUGAAGAACGCAGCGAAAUGCGAUAAGUAGUGUGAAUUGCAGAAUUCAGUGAAUCAUCGAAUCUUUGAACGCACAUUGCGCCCCUUGGUAUUCCAUGGGGCAUGCCUGUUCGAGCGCCAUUUGUACCUUCAAGCUCUGCUUGGUGUUGGGUGUUUGUCUCGCCUCUGCGUGUAGACUCGCCUCAAAACAAUUGGCAGCCGGCGUAUUGAUUUCGGAGCGCAGUACAUCUCGCGCUUUGCACUCAUAACGACGACGUCCAAAAGUACAUUUUUACACUCUUGACCUCGGAUCAGGUAGGGAUACCCGCUGAACUUAAGCAUAUCAAUAAGCGGAGGA
rnacentral:misc_RNA from 1 species